rnacentral:rRNA from 1 species
CAGCAGCCACGGUAAUACGUAGGGCGCAAGCGUUGUCCGGAAUUAUUGGGCGUAAAGAGCUCGUAGGCGGUCUGUCGCGUCUGGUGUGAAAUCCCGAGGCUCAACCUCGGGCUUGCAUCGGGUACGGGCAGACUAGAGUGCGGUAGGGGAGACUGGAAUUCCUGGUGUAGCGGUGGAAUGCGCAGAUAUCAGGAGGAACACCGAUGGCGAAGGCAGGUCUCUGGGCCGCAACUGACGCUGAGGAGCGAAAGCAUGGGGAGCGAACAGGAUUAGAGACCCCCGUAGUCCCUGUCUCUUAUAA